rnacentral:lncRNA from 1 species
GUUGUAUUGAGGCUGUGCUUCCCUUGUUCCUCUUUCCAGAACUGGAUCCGCUCACAUUUCCAGGGCUCCUUCUGGACAGGGUUGAAUGAUCUGAAGGAAGAGUCUGUAUUCCGGUGGACAACACAGGAGGCCCUCAAUCAGCAGAUGGCACAAUCACUCUUUGUCUGCAUGUGGGA